rnacentral:lncRNA from 1 species
UUAGAGUUAGGGUUAGUGUUUGGGUUAGCGUCAGUGAAUACUUGAAAUAACUAAAUGAGAAUUAUUUGAAUACUUAACACGAAAUUUUAUUUUAAAAUUUGAAUAUUUACAAGCGUUUAUUCUAGGGGACAAUCAGAAUUUUAAAAUGAGAAUAAUUACAAUAAAGACCUGAAAAUUUAAGUUUCACACCCGAAUAUCCCCCAGCCCUGUUUCAAGCCCUGACGGGGCGGAUCCCCAGCCCGCUCCCGCCCGCUCCCGGCCUGAAGAACGGGAACAGAUUCCCGUUUGGGCUUUCCAGGGCCGCCGAUCCCAGCAGCCGCCGCUCCUCGGCGUCGAAGAAGCGGAGGCGGCGCCGCUCGAGAUCCAGCAGCACCCCGAGCACGCGGCAGCGCCCCGGGCUGCGCUGCAGGAGCGCGCCCCGGAGCCGGAGCUCGCCCCGGGAGCGCGCCAGGGACGGGCAGCGGUGGGAACCUGGGGUGGGGUCCGGGAUGGAGGGGAGGGGGUGGUAGCGGUGGGAAUUCGGGGUGGGGUCCGGGAUGGAGGGGAUGGGGUGAUCCUGGUGGGAAUUCAGGGUGGGAUUUGGGAUGGAGGGGAUGGGAUGGUACCGGUGGGAAUUCGGGGUAGGAUCCAAGAUGGGGUCCGGGAUGGGAUUCAGGAUGGAAUUUGGGAUGGGAUCCUGAAUGGAAUCUUGCAGGGAAUCAGGGAUGGAAUUCGGGAUGGGAUCCAGGAUGGAAUCCAGGAUGGGAUCCAGGAUGGAAUCUGGGAUGGGAUCCCGCAGGGAACUGGGGAUGGAAUUCGGGAUGGGAUCCCGGAUGGGGUCCAGGAUGGAAUUUUGGAUGGGAUCCUGCAGGGAAUUGGGGACGGGAUCUGGGAUCGAUUUCGGGAUGGAAUUUGGAAUGGAAUUCGGGAUGGGAUCCGGGAUGGGAUUUGGGGUGGAAUUCCGCAGGGGAUCCUGCAGAGAACCCGGGAUGGGAUCCCGAAUGGAAUCUCGCAGGGAAUCAUCCCUCAGGGAAUCAUCCUGCAGGGAAUCCGGGAUGGAAUCCAGGGUGGAAUCUGGGGUGGGAUCCUGCAGGGAAUCCCUCAGGGAAUCCCUCAGGGAAUCCCGGAUGGAAUCCCGGAUGGAAUCCCGGAUGGAAUCCCGGACCUCCUGCGGGAGCACGCCCAGCUCCCAAUCGCUGCCGUCUCCCAGCUCCACUUCCCAGUAAUGCUUCCCGUGGGAAAAUCCCUCCCGAGUCACGGCCAGGGCCCCGAGGCGGGGCCGGGAUCCGGGAUCGGAGCCAGGGAUUUGGGAUCUGGGAUCGGAGCCAGGGAUUUGGGAUCCGGGAUCGGAGCCAGGGAUUUGGGAUCCGGGGAUUUGGGAUCCGGGAUCGGGGCCGGGGAUUUGGGAUCCGGGAUCGGGGCCGGGGAUUCGGGAUCCGGGAUUGGGGCAGAUCCAGGAUCGGCCCCGGAUCAGCAGGGCCGGGUGGGUGCAGCUCUCGUCCAGCGUCAGCGAGACUGGGAAAGAGUGGGGGGAGCGUUUGAUAGGGGUUUGAUAGCGUUUGAUAGGGUGUGAUGGGGUUUCUGAUAGGGUUUGAUAGAGUGUGAUGGGAUUUUGAUAGGGUUAGAUAGCGCUUGAUAAGGUUUGAUAGGGUUUGAUAGGGUUAUGAUAGCGUUUGAUAGGGUGUGAUACAGUUUGAUAGGAUUUGAUAGGGUUUUGAUAGUGUUUGAUAAGGUGUGAUAGGGUUUGAUAGGGUUUGGUAGGUUUUUGAUGGAGUUUGAUGGGGUUUGAUAGCUUUUGAUAGGGUUUGAUAGAGUUUGAUAGGAUUUGAUUGGGUUUGGCAGGUUUUUGAUAGGGUUUGAUAGGGUUUGAUAGG